GGGUUUAUAUGGAUCUAUAGAUUUAAGAAAGUCAGCACCCUGCCCAAUCUUGGGUAAGGCACUCAUACAGCUUUUAGUCCAAUCAAAAUAUUGAUGGGGCAUUUUUAUUUCUUUGACGAGGCUGUGACUCCAAGUCACAUUCAUCCCAAUUUUAUAUGGUCCAACCUUUUUACAAGUUUCUUAGCAAAAAAAUUACAGUUGUUGUUUGUGCUCUUCUGCUCAGGAAGUCAACCAGGGGCCCAUUUCCCUAUCUGUCUAGCCUUAUCUCUUCCACCUGACUUCAAUAGCAAAAACCUGAAAACAACCCAUAUGUACUUGAAUAAGUGAAUGAUUAAAUUUUAGUAUGUUUAUACUAUGUAAUACUCUGCAGUAUUUCAAAGAAAUUCUGUAUGCAUAUGUGUGCAUGCACAUGUGUUGCUGGGAGUCAAACAGGUUCUUUAUACAUGUACACUACCAUUGAGCUGUCAUUGUUCCGGGAACAAACUCAAUACAUGCAACAAUUUAGAUUGACCUUAAAGGAAUUAUGCUCAGUAAAAAAAAAAAAAAAAAAAAAAAAAAAAAAAGCCUAUCUCAAAAAGUUUACAGGGCUGGGGAUACAGUUCAGUUGGUAGAGUGCUUGCCUCAAAUGCACAAAGCCCUGGGUUCAAUCCCUAGCACCAUCAAAAAAAAAAGAAAGAAAAAAAUUACAAUAUUAUUUCUAUUUAGAGAUGUGAAAUAGAUUCGUGGUUGCUAUGUGCUAGGAAUGGAAGACAGAUUAGGGAUGGCUUCAGUUUAUGACAAGACUUUCAGAAGCCCAAACAUAAAAUGGAAUGGAGAGGGCUGGGGGUGUAGCUCAAUUGGUAGAGUGCUUGCCUCGCAUGCAGGAGGCCCUGGGUUCAAUGCCCAGCACCACAAAAAGAAGAAAAAAAAAAAAAACGGAAUGCAGAAAGAGACACCUAAAGAUUUCUGUCAGCUUAUUUAGAUGGUAUAAAAGGGGGCUUGUGGUAGAACAUGCCAUAUCUUGACACUGGUUACACAGACAAGAGAUAAAAUUCCAUAAAACUAUAUACUACAUAAUAGUGCAUUAGAACAAAUUGUAUAAAGAAAAAUACAGAAUCUCCCUGUACAUUCUUUUUUACUGAUUAACUUCCCAUGAAUCUAUAAUUAUUGUGGAAAAUAUGUUGGGGCAGAAGUAUUUUAUAACUGAAACAGGCAUUAAAGUAUUGGUAUAUACAUAUUUCUGAAUGAAU
rnacentral:tRNA from 1 species